UGGGGAAUCUUGCGCAAUGGGCGAAAGCCUGACGCAGCAACGCCGCGUGGGGGAUGAAUGCCUUCGGGUUGUAAACCCCUUUCAGCAGGGACGAAUCUGACGGUACCUGCAGAAGAAGGUCCGGCCAACUACGUGCCAGCAGCCGCGGUAACACGUAGGGGCCAAGCGUUGUCCGGAUUUAUUGGGCGUAAAGAGCUCGUAGGCGGCUUCGUAAGUCGGGUGUGAAAACCCCAGGCUCAACCUGGGGACGCCACCCGAUACUGCGAUGGCUAGAGUCCGGUAGGGGAGCGCGGAAUUCCUGGUGUAGCGGUGAAAUGCGCAGAUAUCAGGAGGAACACCGGUGGCGAAGGCGGCGCUCUGGGCCGGAACUGACGCUGAGGAGCGAAAGCGUGGGGAGCAAACAG
rnacentral:rRNA from 1 species